AUAAAAGUUAUUCUACAUUCAAAUGCUCCCCUUCGAUAUACUCCCCUCCCCUCGCCACACGCCGUUUCAUUCGUUUCUUCCAUUGCUCGAGGCAGUGCUGGAAGUCUGUUUUCGUAAGACCACUCAGGAGUUCCGCCGAUUUUUAUUUCACCUCUUCCAUCGACUCAAACCGGAUUCCUUUUAAGGCGGACUUUAUCUUCGGAAACGAGUAAAAGUCGCAGGGUGUCGAGUCGGGUGAGUAAGACGCGUGUUGGAGUACUGGAGUGCCUUAAGCGGCCAAAUAACGUUUCACGCUUUAUCCUGGUGCAAGAUCCACGACUUGUUUUUCCACAAUGUCGACCGUUUCUGACGAACUCAUUCGCGCAAUGUUG
rnacentral:lncRNA from 1 species